rnacentral:rRNA from 1 species
GACGAACGCUGGCGGCGUGCUUAACACAUGCAAGUCGAACGAUGAAGCUGGAGCUUGCUCCGGUGGUGUAGUGGCGAACGGGUGAGUAACACGUGAGCAAUCUGCGCUUGACUCUGGGAUAACUGCGGGAAACUGUAGAUAAUACAGGAUACUUUCACAGGAAGGCAUCAUCUGGUGAAGAAAGAAUUUCGGUCAAGGAUGAGGUCGCGGCGUAUCAGCUUGUUGGGGAGGUAACGGCUCACCAAGGCGACGACGGGUAGCCGGCCGGAGAGGGUGGCCGGCCACACUGGGACUGAGACACGGCCCAGACUCCUACGGGAGGCAGCAGUGGGGAAUAUUGCACAAUGGGCGCAAGCCUGAUGCAGCAACGCCGCGUGAGGGAUGAAGGCCUUCGGGUUGUAAACCUCUUUUAGCAGGGAAGAAGCGAAAGUGACGGUACCUGCAGAAAAAGCACCGGCUAACUACGUGCCAGCAGCCGCCGUAA